GGGACUCCUCCACAAUGUUUUUCUCUUACCAGAUGUGCAUGUCCUUGCAAAAAGAAAAGGCAAGAGGCUAUGUUUCCAUCCCUUUCUGUUCCUGUCACUGCUGAAGACAAUACAUGAUAGCAGAAUAUGAAGUUUCAUAAGGAUAAACCCUAUAAAAGCAGUCAAAAGUCUUGAUGGCAUUCCAACUGGUUUGUACCUCAGUGAAGACAAAACCCUAAUCGUGGUUGCUGGCUCUUUUCCUGCAGUAAAAUCUGGUCUACAGUAGAAAAAGACUGUAACAGCUUCCUUUCAAAAAUUUGAUCAUUCCUUAGCGAGGCAAAUAGCUAUAUUUGCUGAUAUCUAACAUUUCCGUAAACCAUCAUCUCUGUGACAGCAUUAAAAAAGCCAAUGUAGUGAUGCAUGUUUUAUUUCAUUUGCAUUUUUUCAUUCCAGUAUUGCUUUUGUCAUUGUAACCCACUAAUAACACUGUCCUCUCUCUCAGAGCAUUUCUCUUGGUAUCUUGGAUCAGUAGACAGACCUUUUACAGAAUAAAAAUUUGAGUACACUCCAUGGAAGCUGGAA